rnacentral:rRNA from 1 species
GCUAGCGGCAGGCCUAAUACAUGCAAGUCGAACGGUUUGUAGCAAUACAGAUAGUGGCGCACGGGUGCGUAACACGUAACUAACCUGCCCAAGACUGGGGGAUAGCCCGCCGAAAGGCGGAUUAAUACCGCAUAACACUUUUGAGUGGCAUCACUUAAUAGUUAAACCUGAGGGGGUCUUGGAUGGGGUUGCGGGUCAUUAGCUAGUUGGUUAGGUAACGGCUGACCAAGGCGACGAUGACUAGGGGAGCUGAGAGGCUGGUCCCCCACACGGGCACUGAGAUACGGGCCCGACUCCUACGGGAGGCAGCAGUAGGGAAUAUUGGGCAAUGGGCGAGAGCCUGACCCAGCCAUGCCGCGUGCAGGAAGAAGGCUUUCUGAGUCGUAAACUGCUUUUGAUAGGGAAGAAUAACCUGUACGUGUACAGGGAUGACGGUACCUACAGAAUAAGCACCGGCUAACUCCGUGCCAGCAGCCGCGGUAAUACGGAGGGUGCGAGCGUUGUCCGGAUUUAUUGGGUUUAAAGGGUGCGUAGGCGGCCCGUUAAGUCCGGGGUGAAAGCCCGUUGCUCAACAACGGAACUGCCCUGGAUACUGGCGGGCUUGAGACUAGUGGAGGUUGGCGGAAUGGACCGAGUAGC